rnacentral:rRNA from 1 species
GAUGAACGCUAGCGGCAGGCCUAACACAUGCAAGUCGAGGGAGAAGCCCUUUCGGGGGCAGAAACCGGCGCACGGGUGCGUAACGCGUAUGCAACCUACCUUUCACAGGGGGAUAGCCCGAAGAAAUUUGGAUUAAUACCCCAUAAUAUUAUUGGAUGGCAUCAUUUGAUAAUUAAAACUGCGGUGGUGAAAGAUGGGCAUGCGUCCUAUUAGCUAGUUGGAGUGGUAACGGCACCCCAAGGCUACGAUAGGUAGGGGUCCUGAGAGGGAGAUCCCCCACACUGGUACUGAGACAGGGACCAGACUCCUACGGGAGGCAGCAGUGAGGAAUAUUGGUCAAUGGUCGGAAGACUGAACCAGCCAUGCCGCGUGCAGGAAGAAUGCCUUAUGGGUUGUAAACUGCUUUUAUAUGGGAAGAAUAAGGUGUACGUGUACAUUGAUGACGGUACCAUAUGAAGAAGCAUCGGCUAACUCCGU